UGGCGUGUGAAGGAGUAGUUCUACUUUAUCAGUGGAAACAAGGAAACACUUGAUUAAGUAGAACCAAUAA
rnacentral:ncRNA from 2 species